rnacentral:misc_RNA from 1 species
GUGAAUCAUCAAAUUUUUGAACGCAAAUUGCGCUUCCUGGCAUCCCGGGAAGUAUGCCUGUUUGAGGGUCAGUAUUAACGAAAAAUCGGUUUGGUUGCAAAUUGUGACGUUUCCGGAGUUUGGGCUAUCUUAACUUUUUUGGUUAAGGGGCUUAAAAUUGACCUUAUUUGCGCAUUUUUAGACGUACAUAAAUUUUUUUUUUUUUUGUAUUUUUUUUAUGAAAAACUUAUUUUAGAUGAUA